GGAGUUAGCCGGUGCUUCUUCUGCGAGUAACGUCACAGAUGUAAGGUAUUAACUUACACCCUUUCCUCCUCGCUGAAAGUGCUUUACAACCCGAAGGCCUUCUUCACACACGCGGCAUGGCUGCAUCAGGGUUUCCCCCAUUGUGCAAUAUUCCCCACUGCUGCCUCCCGUAGGAGUCUGGGCCGUGUCUCAGUCCCAGUGUGGCUGAUCAUCCUCUCAGACCAGCUAGGGAUCGUCGCCUAGGUGAGCCUUUACCUCACCUACUAGCUAAUCCCACCUGGGCUUAUCCAUCAGCGCAAGGCCCGAAGGUCCCCUGCUUUCCCCCGUAGGGCGUAUGCGGUAUUAGCAGUCGUUUCCAACUGUUAUCCCCCACAAAUGGGCAAAUUCCCAGGCAUUACUCACCCGUCCGCCGCUCGUCAUCUUCAAAAGCAAGCUUUUGAAACUGUUACCGCUCGACUUGCAUGUGUUAGGCCUGCCGCCAGCGUUCAAUCUGAGCCAGGAUCAAACUCUAGA
rnacentral:rRNA from 1 species